rnacentral:tRNA from 1 species
GCUUGUUUAGCUUAGUUGGUAGAGCGCAAGGUUUUUAACCUUGUGGUCGUGGGUUUGAGCCCUACGGUGGGUA